UUGGGGAGUAACAUCGUGGUUGCUCACUGAAGCUAAGCAGGGCUGAGCCUGGUCAGUACCUGGAUGGGAGACCUCCUGGGAAAACUAGGUUGCUGCUGGAA
rnacentral:rRNA from 1 species